GCUAGAUGAUUCACCCUACAGCCACACAACUCUUUUCAGAGGCACAGUCCUUGUAAAGCUGAUGAGGACCUCCUUCUCAACAGCAAUUUGGGAGUUAAUCCUCAGCCAAACAACUCUGUUAAAUAAUUCAGAAGUACAGUUUCUAAAAAGAUUUGUAGAGAAAAUGUAGAACAUAGUACCUAUAUAUCACUUUAUUGAAAACUCCAGAGAUCCUUCUGCUCUCCAAGCAGAUGGACAUCCCACUCUAUCAAAGGUUUUGUCUGUUGGCUCUUUUAAUGAGUCUGGUGCUGCUGACUCUUGCAGAGUAAAAAAGAGAAAGGACCUGUAGAAGCAUUUAUUAUUGAGAUACCAUAUUGAUUGACACAUCCUAGAAUGUUGAGCCAACAUAUAGAGGAGUAUGAACUGAAGUGUCACCUAGACUCCUGAAGACUUUGUAAGAUUAUUGAAAAAGAAGUUUUGCUUGAGGAGGAAGAAGUCCAGUUUCCUGUCAGUGGUGGAGAG
ensembl:lncRNA